UACGGAGGGUGCAAGCGUUAUCCGGAUUCACUGGGUUUAAAGGGUGCGUAGGUGGAUUGGUAAGUCAGUGGUGAAAUCUCCGGGCUUAACUCGGAAACUGCCAUUGAUACUAUCAGUCUUGAAUACCGUGGAGGCCAGUAGAAUAUGUCAUGUAGCGGUGAAAUUCGUAGAUAUCGAGAGGAACACCUGUGGCGAAGGCGGCCAACUGGACGAGUACUGACGCUGAGACACGAAAGCGUGGGGAGCAAACAGG
rnacentral:rRNA from 1 species